rnacentral:rRNA from 1 species
GCCAGACUCCUACGGGAGGCAGCAGUGGGGGAUAUUGCACAAUGGGGGGAACCCUGAUGCAGCGACGCCGCGUGGGUGAAGAAGUAUUUCGGUAUGUAAAGCCCUAUCGGCAGGAAAGAAAAUGACGGUACCUGAGUAAGAAGCCCCGGCUAACUACGUGCCAGCAGCCGCGGUAAUACGUAGGGGGCAAGCGUUAUCCGGAUUUACUGGGUGUAAAGGGAGCGUAGACGGCAGUGCAAGUCUGGAGUGAAAGGCGGGGGCUCAACCCCCGGACUGCUCUGGAAACUGUACGGCUGGAGUGCAGGAGGGGUAAGUGGAAUUCCUAGUGUAGCGGUGAAAUGCGUAGAUAUUAGGAGGAACACCAGUGGCGAAGGCGGCUUACUGGACUGUAACUGACGUUGAGGCUCGAAAGCGUGGGGAGCAAACAGGAUUAGAUACCCGGGUA